rnacentral:rRNA from 1 species
UACGAAGGGGGCUAGCGUUGUUCGGAAUUACUGGGCGUAAAGGGCGCGUAGGCUGUGCUGUAAGUCAGGCGUGAAAGGCCCGGGCUCAACCUGGGAAUGGCGCUUGAUACUGCGGCGCUGGAAGGUGGGAGAGGAUGGCGGAAUUCCCAGUGUAGAGGUGAAAUUCGUAGAUAUUGGGAAGAACACCGGUGGCGAAGGCGGCGACCUGGUCCUUGACUGACGCUGAGGCGCGAAAGCGUGGGGAGCAAACAGG